rnacentral:rRNA from 1 species
UGAUGCAGCAACGCCGCGUGAGGGACGACGGCCUUCGGGUUGUAAACCUCUUUUAGCAGGGAAGAAGCGAAAGUGACGGUACCUGCAGAAAAAGCACCGGCUAACUACGUGCCAGCAGCCGCGGUAAUACGUAGGGUGCAAGCGUUGUCCGGAAUUAUUGGGCGUAAAGAGCUCGUAGGCGGUUUGUCGCGUCUGCUGUGAAAUCCCGAGGCUCAACCUCGGGUCUGCAGUGGGUACGGGCAGACUAGAGUGCGGUAGGGGAGAUUGGAAUUCCUGGUGUAGCGGUGGAAUGCGCAGAUAUCAGGAGGAACACCGAUGGCGAAGGCAGAUCUCUGGGCCGCUACUGACGCUGAGGAGCGAAAGGGUGGGGAGCAAACAGGCUUAGAUACCCUGGUAGUCCACCCCGUAAACGUUGGGCGCUAGAUGUGGGGACCAUUCCACGGUUUCCGUGUCGUAGCUAACGCAUUAAGCGCCCCGCCUGGGGAGUACGGCCGCAAGGCUAAAACUCAAAGGAAUUGACGGGGGCCCGCACAAGCGGCGGAGCAUGCGGAUUAAUUCGAUGCAACGCGAAGAACCUUACCAAGGCUUGACAUAUACGAGAACGGGCCAGAAAUGGUCAACUCUUUGGACACUCGUAAACAGGUGGUGCAUGGUUGUCGUCAGCUCGUGUCGUGAGAUGUUGGGUUAAGUCCCGCAACGAGCGCAACCCUCGUUCUAUGUUGCCAGCACGUAAUGGUGGGAACUCAUGGGAUACUGCCGGGGUCAACUCGGAGGAAGGUGGGGACGACGUCAAAUCAUCAUGCCCCUUAUGUCUUGGGCUUCACGCAUGCUACAAUGGCCAGUACAAAGGGCUGCAAUACCGUAAGGUGGAGCGAAUCCCAAAAAGCUGGUCCCAGUUCGGAUUGAGGUCUGCAACUCGACCUCAUGAAGUCGGAGUCGCUAGUAAUCGCAGAUCAGCAACGCUGCGGUGAAUACGUUCCCGGGCCUUGUACACACCGCCCGUCAAGUCAUGAAAGUCGGUAACACCCGAAGCCAGUGGCCUAACCGCAAGGAUGGA